UACGAAGGGUGCAAGCGUUACUCGGAAUUACUGGGCGUAAGGCGUGCGUAGGUGGUUUGCUAAGUCUGAUGUGAAAGCCCUGGGCUCAACCUGGGAAUUGCAUUGGAUACAGGCAGGCUAGAGUGCGGUAGAGGAUGGCGGAAUUCCCGGUGUAGCAGUGAAAUGCGUAGAGAUCGGGAGGAACAUCUGUGGCGAAGGCGGCCAUCUGGACCAGCACUGACACUGAGGCACGAAAGCGUGGGGAGCAAACAGG
rnacentral:rRNA from 1 species